rnacentral:rRNA from 1 species
UUUUGAGUGUUAAAGUUUUGUGCUUGAGUAGUAUUAGUUAUGUUCUUGAAACUUAAAGAAUUUGGCGGUAUCUUACUCCAUUCAGAGGAAUCUGUCUCGUUAUCGAUAGUCCGCGUUGGACCUUACUUGAGUUUAUUGUUUGUAUACCGCCGUUUAUUGAUUAUCCUUUUAGGGGCUUAAUUUUCUUGUUUCUUUAUUUUGAUUUAUUUCAGGUCAAGGUGCAGCUUUUUCUAAGUGGUAUGAUGGAUUACAGUGUUAUUUGUUGUUUGGAUUAUGUAUUUUAAUAUGUGUAUGAAAUUGGAUUUGGUUGUAAUGUUUUGUAGAUUGUUUUCGUGAUAAUUGGUUCUGGGAUAUGU